AUUGAACGCUAGCGGGAUGCCUUACACAUGCAAGUCGAACGGAGUGGCGAACGGGUGAGUAAUGUAUCGGAACGUGACCAGUAGCGGGGGAUAACUACGCGAAAGCGUAGCUAAUACCGCAUACUAUUGGAGCGGCCGAUAUUGGAUUAGCUAGUUGGUGGGGUAACGGCUCACCAAGGCGACGAUCCGUAGCUGGUUUGAGAGGACGACCAGCCACACUGGGAAUGGGCCACGGCCCAGACUCCUAAGGGAGGCAGCAGUGGGGAAUGUUGGACAAGGGGGGAAACCCUGAUCCAGCCAUGCCGCGUGUGCGAUGAAGGCCUUCGGGUUGUAAAGUACUUUCAGCGAGGAGGCGUUACUCGCAGAAGAAGCACCGGCUAACUCCGUGCCAGCAGCCGCGGUAAUAC
rnacentral:rRNA from 1 species